UGGACUCAUAUAGGGACCAGCCACAGGAGGGAGAGCAUCUCUGGGACCUGGGCUGCUCCUUAAGAGGCAGUGCUGUGUAACCAGAGAGCCCCUUCACCAGCUGGGUGAGUGCAGCUGUUCUUUCUUUCUGUCUAUGGCUGUUGCCCUACCUGUGAGUGCUUUGUCUGAUGUUGCCAAGAACCAUUUGGAAGUCAUUUAGUUUCUUCAUGAGCAGAACAAAGGCCAUGGUUUUCACGGCCACUUGUUGGAUAAUAAAGAGAAAGGGAAACAGUCUGUUCUCUGCUGGGUGGACUACUGAAAACAGCCAAGCACAACGGCUUUCCUUCUGCCUUUCUUUUUCCUUCAUCAAGAUAAACAUAAUAAGCAGCUGAAAAACGUAGGCUGUGCUUACAACAAAAGCUGGGGAUGGGCUACGUGAUCUCUACUGUCCCUUCCAACUCCUAUGACCCUGCGUCCUCAUGGCGGGACGCUGCAGCAGGAGGCAGGGAUGGGCCUGCACAGUUACAGCACUGUAGGGGCUGGGCUGAAGCAGUGACCGUGCUGGAGUGGGAAGUGCUGCAGAGCAAGGCAGGGAGCAAAAGCCCAAAGGAUAGAGCUGUUUAAGGUUGGACCUCGCAUCCAUCUUCAUAUCUUCUGAUAUAAGACAUUGGCCAGCACUGUCAGAGCCAUGCAGAUCCACUUAUCAGCAAGGAACUGACCAUUUACUGGAAGAUAACCUGAGAACUUGGUCGCCUCACCCCAGAGCAAGUCUUCUGACCCUGCUCUGUUUUCUAAUGUGCCCAUGCUCCAUGGUAUCACAGGUCCUGCCUGCAUUGCUAGGGCAGGCCCAGGCUCCAGGCAGGUGAUGGCUGUGCUGGUGGCAGAGUCCUGCAGUGCUCUGGGUGCUCACCAGCAGCUUGCUGCCUGCAGCACCUGCCUUGAAGAGUCUCAUAGUAGUGCAAAAAUGGAGGCCCAGCGCUGGGAAGGAAGUGGUGUGAUUUGUCCCCUGUGCACUUUCUCUGGGACCCUGAUACAGCUCUUCAGUUCCCUGCAAGCCUUUACAGCUCAUGACCUGAUGUUUCUUUUCCUUAAAAAUCUAUCUCCUGAGCUUGUGCUGGUGUUAUCUGGAAGUGAUCCAGCAGAACAGUGGCACUGGAGAAUGGGAUUUCAUCAGAAUGCAUCACAGGAACGUGCCAGUUUCAGAAACUUUAAUCAGAAAAGGGAUCUUGGAGCCAGAAGGCUCUGGGCUGCCCAGCUCCCAGCACAGCUGUGGGUCUUAGCUGCAGGGAUCCCCCACAGGGCUUGGUUUGCCAUGCAUCAGGGCAGUGCCACAUCUCACCCUUCCUGGCUGGGUCUGGCUUGGCAUCGAAGAGGGCUUUAAAAAAUGGAAGAAAGCCCACUAUCUUCCAUGGCAUGUGUCAAGAGCUGGGCAUGAAGGAUCACAUAAACCCAUUCAGCUGAAGUAAGAUCUGUCUGCACAAGAACAAAUGUGAGUUCAGGGACAAAACUCAGCUCCAAUGACUUAAAAUAAAACAAAAACAAAACGCUUUAAGAAACUUGAG
rnacentral:lncRNA from 1 species